UCAGGCCUAACACAUGCAAGUCGANCGGCAGCGCGGGGGCAACCCUGGNGCCGAGCGGGGACGGGUGAGUAACGCUUGGGAAUCUGCCUGUUAGUGGGGGAUAACUCGGGGAAACUCGAGCUAAUACCGCAUACGCAGUACGGUGGAAAGCCGGGGACCGCAAGGCCUGGCGCUAACAGAUGAGCCCAAGUCGGAUUAGCUAGGAGGUAGGGUAAUGGCAUACCAAGGNUACGAUCCGUAGCUGGUNUGAGAGGACGACCAGCCACACNGGGNCUGAGACACGCCAGNCUCCUACGGGAGGCAGCAGUGGGGAACNUGGACAANGGGGGAAACCCGGAUCCAGCGACGCCGCGUGGGUGAAGAAGGCCUCCGGGUUGUAAAGCCCUUUCGGUGGGGAAGAAAAGAUUNUUUAAUACGUCGGAGUCNUGACGNAC
rnacentral:rRNA from 1 species